rnacentral:rRNA from 1 species
UACAGAGGGUGCAAGCGUUGUUCGGAAUUAUUGGGCGUAAAGAGCUCGUAGGCGGUCUGUCGCGUCGGCUGUGAAAACCCGGGGCUCAACCCCGGGCCUGCAGUCGAUACGGGCAGACUAGAGUGCGGUAGGGGAGACUGGAAUUCCUGGUGUAGCGGUGAAAUGCGCAGAUAUCAGGAGGAACACCGGUGGCGAAGGCGGGUCUCUGGGCCGUAACUGACGCUGAGGAGCGAAAGCGUGGGGAGCGAACGGG